rnacentral:rRNA from 1 species
CAAACGAACUUCGGGUUAGUGGCGGACGGGUGAGUAACGCGUGAGAAUCUGCCCUCAGGAGGGGGACAACAGCUGGAAACGGCUGCUAAUACCCCAUAUGCCGCGAGGUGAAAUGAAUUUCGCCUGAGUGAUGAGCUCGCGCCUGAUUAGCUAGUUGGUGUAGGUAAUGGCUCACCAAGGCAUCGAUCAGUAGCUGGUCUGAGAGGAUGAUCAGCCACACUGGGACUGAGACACGGCCCAGACUCCUACGGGAGGCAGCAGUGGGGAAUUUUCCGCAAUGGGCGAAAGCCUGACGGAGCAACGCCGCGUGAGGGAUGAAGGCCUCUGGGCUGUAAACCUCUUUUAUCAAGGAAGAAGAUCUGACGGUACUUGAUGAAUAAGCCACGGCUAAUUCCGUGCCAGCAGCCGCGGUAAUACGGGAGUGGCAAGCGUUAUCCGGAAUUAUUGGAGCGUAACAGCGUCCGCAGAGACGGCCCUUCAAGUCUGCUGUUACAAAAGUGGAGCUUAAACUCCAUCAUGGCAGUGGGAAACUGUUGGGCUUGAGUG